AUCGAGAGGAACACCAAAGGCGAAGGCAGAUACUUAGGCAAUUUAUGACGCUGAUAGACGACAGCUAGGGGAGCGAAAGGGAUUAGAGACCCCUGUAGUCCUAGCCGUAAACGAUGGAUGCUAGCUGGUCGGAUUUAUCUGGCCGGCGUAAGCUAACGCGUUAAGCAUCCCGCCUGGGAAGUACGGCCGCAAGGCUAAAACUCAAAGGAAUUGACGGGGGAGCGCACAACCGGUGGAGCAUGUGGUUUAAUUCGAUACAAAGCGAAAGACCUCACCUGGGUUUGAAAUGUAACUGCAAGUCCCGUGAAAGCGGGAUGUCUUCGAGAGUGUUACACAGCUGUUGCAUGGCUGUCGUCAGUUCGUGUCGUGAGGCGUUUCUUUAAGUAGAAUAACGAACGCAACCCCCAUGCUGUGUUAAAUAUUCACAGCAGACUGCCCUUGAUAAUCUCAAGGGAGGAAGGAGGGGACGAUGUCAAGUCAGCAUGACGCUUACGUCCAGGGCCACACACAUCCUACAAUGGGAAGUAACAAUGGGUCGCCAACCCGUAAGGGGGAGCCAAUCCCACCAAACCUUCCCUCAGUUCAGAUUGAGGGCUGCAACCCGCCCUCAUGAAGUCGGAAUCGGUAGUAAUCGCGGAUCAGCAGGCCGCGGUGAAUACGUUCUCGCUCCUUGUACACACCGCCCGUCAAGUGAGCAAAGUUGGCAGUGCCUGAAGGUGGAAAUCUUAACCCGCAAGGGAGGGACCCACCAAAGGUAAGGUCAGCGAUGAGCGCUAAGUCGUAACAAGGUAUCCGUUCUGGAAGGAGCGGAUGGAUCACCUCCUUU
rnacentral:rRNA from 1 species